AUGCAGCUCUAUCUACUGUCCUGAUGUAGAGGAAUUUAUAAAACUUCAGAUUUGAUGAAAACUAGCUGAGUCUGUAAGGGUCUCUGCAUUCUAGGACCAGUAGUUGGUACUUGGUGGCUACAUGUAGAUAUAAAGUUACAUUUUGAGAGUAAAACUAGUAAAAUGAACAUGAUGAAUGAGACCAAUAAUUUACAAAAAUGACUUUAAAAUAUAUGAAGUCUCCUGGGAAGAGUAAAGUUGGGAUAUCCAUGAUAGAGCUGUAACCAUUAUUGAGCAUCUAUGAUGUGCCAGGUGCUACACUGUGUGGUAUGGGCACAUUCGUGCUUAGUCUCUAACACAGCCUUGUGAGUUAGCAUUAUCAUGAACCCAUGUAUAGAAGGAUUUGAGGCAUGAAAACAUUAGGUUAACUGACUUAACGUCACCUGUUUGGUAAAGUGGUAGAAAGAGGGUUUGAGCAUAGAGUUUUAUUUGGAAGAUUGCAAAGAUGCCCCCAACAAAAGCCCCACCCCUGUGGAAGCACACUAAUGCCUCUGUGGCGUUAGCAGAGCUCAGCGAGGCUGGGCAGGACAGCAUGGCACUGAGGGAGGAAGAGCAGAGACAAGGUGGCUCCAGGUGGAUUACACCUAACCAUGAACACCAAAAGUCAAGGCUGAUGGAAGAAAUUGUAAACUUUUUUACAGCCAUAUUAGAUACAAACCUCUUCAGACACUCACCAUUCAAAUCCUCUUAACUCUGCAAAUCAGCAUGAUUUCCAGGUAAAUCACUGUCAAUGGGCUUUCAUGAGGAACAUCUGAAAAAAAUUUGUAUUAAUAAUAGACUGACAGUUGUAGAAAUAAAAUCCAAGUUUCCAAUGGUUGCUGUGUAAGAGAUCGAAAAACGUUGAAAUUGGUGAUUAAGAAUAUGAACAAGUGACCAUUCCCACAGACUGAUGGGAGUCACAAAAGAGAGGAUCAUCUGGUGACGAGAUGUCAGGACUGAAGUGGAGAAGAAAGAAACAAACAAGAAGACUGCCUUUCGCCAUGCUGCUAAGGGUUCUAAGAGUCCUAGCAAGAUCACAUUGGAAGCUAUAAACACUGUGCAUAGUGUUUAUAGUUUUUAGUAACUAAUUAUACACAAGUUAAUUCAGAGUAAUUUGUUUAUAGCUCUUAAUUCAUAUGGUCUUCAUGAAGUUAUUCUGUUUGUUAUUAUUCCUUUUGUGAACUUUAUUAAGGAUUGAAUUAAUGAGAUUCUCCAGAAUUAAUGUCUAUAUCAAAUUGACCUUGAUUGGUGUAUUUACCAUGCUUUUUAUUUCUCUGAUGCUUUGACGUCUUAUGACUUUGCUGCCCCUGGAGGAAUGCCCUUCUCAAAGUUGGCGCAUUUCAAGAGAUAAAAAACUACUCAGCCAUGAGUGUGUCAAUCACCUCAAAGUGUAUACCCCUACCACCAACCAUUUCUUUUAUUUGCUGUCUCACUCUUGGCCACUAUGCACCUGCCCUAAUCACCUCAGAGUUAAGCAGCAGACAGCAGGGAACAGUUCCUAUACCCCAGAGCCCUGGGAACUUCUUCAAACUAGUCCAUUGUAGGCAUGCUGACCCUGCCUCACCAGUUCCUCCCCACAAUAAAGGCUCUUGUCCACAUUUCCUCCCCAGCUCCUCUGCCUCCUAAACGACUUAGAUGCCUCCCCAUCUUUACUUCCCCAUAGCAUGGUGUGCCCCCUUCUCAUUGGAUCUCCAAAAAUAUCAAUCUACCUUUUCUCUUUUAUGGUGCUAGGGAUGGAUGCAACUCAGGGCCUCACCCAUCCUAGGCAAUUGUGCUAAUACUACCCCAAGCACAUGGUCUAGCUUUUCCAUCACAGUUGUCUCCUGGUUUGUGAGCCUUGACAUACCUAGAUAAUAACCUAUAUUGCAAAGUAAAUAGUAAUUAUCUCUAAGAUACUGGCAGGAAAACUAAGUUAGAUAGAAACUCUCUUCACUGUAUUAGAACCUCUCUUUCACUGUCAGCUUGGGUUGCCAUAAUAAAAUACCUUCAGUCCUCAAUAUACUAUAGCUCUUAAUUCAUAUGGUCUUAAUUCAUAUACAAUAAACCAUUAUUGGUUUGCAAGUUUGACUUUCAAUGGUAUGAAAGUGAUACUCAUUCAGUAGAAACUGUACUUGGAAUUUUGAAGCUGAUCUUUUCCCAAGAUACUGAUACAGGGUUGGGGCUGGACUGAAACCCAGGUCUGCGCCCCCGAACUAUGCCCCGGAUACUGUAUAUCCUCUAGUGUAAUAAAGGGGAUUCCCCCAUGUAUUACUACACAGAGACCUGUGUGACUUAGAUUUCCAGCUCUGGACUCCCUUUGUUUCAAUUACAUGCUUGUCUAGAAGCUUCUGAGGCCUUCCCAAGAUCCUGAUAGAGAGUUUCUCUGUGUGGCAGUGUCUGACCAGUCAUUAGAAAGGAAUAUUCCUGACCACUUAUCCCAGGAUUAAUAAAUUGGUAUUGCAUCCAGUACCUUAGGAAUUUUUGCUUUGCUUUUUUUUUUUUUAAUCACUCAAGCCUAAUAAUAAUUGAGGGAAUACUAAAAAAUUUAGUUCCUGACCCUGGAAAUCUCAUGUGCAGGCCUUGGCUAUAGUGACCAUAACAAUGAACCACCUCAUUAUGCAUUGCCCUCCAUCCUGGCCAGUCUUUCUGUCUCACCCCUUUUGGCCUGUCUCAGGCACCAUGGAAUUCUUCUGACAAGGUCCCAAUUGAUUUUGCCACCUAUGUUAUUAUAUGGACUUAAUGUGGAUCUGUGUUAAUAUUCUUUCUGACAUUGAAAUAAAUUAUCUGAACAGCUAUGCCUUUCAUUCCAAUGAAAAGUAUUAAAUGUGGGCAUUAUUCUUGAUUUUUUUAUGAUUUUAAAUUUCUCAGUAUUAUUCAUAGGAAACCAGGGAUUCGUUUCUGAGUAAAGAAAAGUGGGAUUAAGGGAGAUUUCUUUAGAAAUCCUGUAACUGCUUGGGAAGAAAUCUUGGUGUUGGUAGGACAUCCCUUAUCCAACAUACUUUGAACUAGAAGAGUUUCUGAUUUCUGAUUUUCAUAGUAGAAAAUUCCAAGCAUGUUGCAAAGGGACCACUAGGUAAGCACAUUAGCAGAGAUAAAAGGCAGACAGAUGCCAAUCAAGAGAAUGGGGGAUAAGACCCUCCAAACAGGGGUCAGAGGGCUAGGAAGGCAGAAUGAAUCUAGGAAACCAGCUCAGUGUGCUUUCCAUGGACUUUUAUUUUUUUUCCCCUGAAGCACAACUAUUUCAUUUCUCUGAUUGUACAUGAUGCAGCAUCACACCAUAUGUGCAGUCACACAUGUACCUAGGGUAAUACUGUCCAUCACAUUAAACCAUCUUUCUGUCCCCAUGACCCCUCUCCCCACCUUUGCCCAAAGUUCCUCCAUUUUUCCCAUGCUCUCCCCCAUUAUGGCACCACUGGAUAGCAUUAGCAUUUAAAUAAAGCUAGGCUUGGUGCCAGUUUUCAGAGAAGGUUUUCUGUCCUUUUUGAGGGGGAACGGGAAAGCCUUCUUUGUCAGUUGGUCCCAACACUGCCUGGCAAUGGUAGGGAUUACAUAAUAUUUGUAGAAUGAAUAUUCAUUUGCCUCUGUGGGCAAAUGAAGGGAAAAGUCCUCAUCCAAUCUAUUAUAGAAGCUAACUGCAUUGCCCCCCAAUCUAUUAUUAUUACUAUUUGCAGUACUGGGGAUGGAACUCACAUGCUACGUGGUAAGCACUCAACCACGGAGCCACACUCCUAGCCCUUGUACUCAAAUUUAAAUGAAUUUUAAAAUCCGAUAUUUUUGCAGAUAGAAAUGGAAAUUAUGUCACCUUUAUAAAGUUAACCUUUUACUGGAAGGUUUCUUAAAGUCCAG
rnacentral:lncRNA from 1 species